rnacentral:siRNA from 1 species
AGUAGUGUAAACCGUAGUGGUGGU